rnacentral:ncRNA from 1 species
UAACUGGAGAGUUUGAUUCUGGCUCAGAAUGAACGCUGGCGGCGUGCUUAACACAUGCAAGUCGAACGAGAAAGACCCUGCUUGCAGGGACGAGUAGAGUGGCGCACGGGUGAGUAACACGUGGAUAAUCUACCUUCAAAUCGGGAAUAACUGUUCGAAAGGGCAGCUAAUACCGGAUAAAGUUUGUAAGG